UGUAGUUCUCUUUCCUGAAUGAACAGCCACGAGCAGAACGCAGCUCUUCUUCCUCACAGAGAAACUGAGAAACUUCAUCAUGUUUCUCUGCAGGAUGAAGGUGUGCACAUGCAGAUUUGUGGCUGUGAUUGAUGAAGAUGCUGCAGAAGUCGUGCUGCGGUCCUGAGAAAAGCACCUGAUCAGGAGAUGUCGAGCUUCUGUCAAUCCUCCGUCUGCUGAUCAGGAGCAGCUUCAGCAGUUGUCUUCGACAUGAAAACAACGCCUGAUCAUGAGAUGUCGAGCUUCUGUCAAUCCUCCGUCUGCU